AACGAACGCUGGCGGCAUGCCUAACACAUGCAAGUCGAACGAGACCUUCGGGGCUAGUGGCGCACGGGUGCGUAACGCGUGGGAACCUGCCCUUAGGUUCGGAAUAACUCCCCGAAAGGGGUGCUAAUACCGGAUAAUGUCUUCGGACCAAAGAUUUAUCGCCUUUGGAUGGGCCCGCGUUGGAUUAGCUAGUUGGUAGGGUAAAAGCCUACCAAGGCGACGAUCCAUAGCUGGUCUGAGAGGAUGAUCAGCCACACUGGGACUGAGACACGGCCCAGACUCCUACGGGAGGCAGCAGUGGGGAAUAGUGGAAAAUGGGGGAAAGCAUGAUCCAGCAAUGCCGCGUGAGUGAUGAAGGCCGUAGAGUUGUAAAGCUCUUUUACCCGGGAUGAUAAUGACAGUACCGGGAGAAUAAGCUCCGGCUAACUACGUG
rnacentral:rRNA from 1 species